AGUGAACGCUGGCGGUAGGCCUAACACAUGCAAGUCGAACGGCAGCACAGGAGAGCUUGCUCUCUGGGUGGCGAGUGGCGGACGGGUGAGGAAUACAUCGGAAUCUACUCUGUCGUGGGGGAUAACGUAGGGAAACUUACGCUAAUACCGCAUACGACCUACGGGUGAAAGCAGGGGAUCUUCGGACCUUGCGCGAUUGAAUGAGCCGAUGUCGGAUUAGCUAGUUGGCGGGGUAAAGGCCCACCAAGGCGACGAUCCGUAGCUGGUCUGGGAGGAUGAACGGCCACACGGGAACUGGGACACGGUCCAGACUCCUACGGGAGGCAGCAGUGGGGAAUAUUGGACAAUGGGCGCAAGCCUGAUCCAGCCAUACCGCGUGGGUGAAGAAGGCCUUCGGGUUGUAAAGCCCUUUUGCUGGGAAAGAAAUCCAGCUGGCUAAUACCCGGUUGGGAUGACGGUACCCAAAGAAUAAGCACCGGCUAACUUCGUGCCAGCCGCCGCCGUAA
rnacentral:rRNA from 1 species